CAAAGGAGAAGAUGGUCUUUAUAUGUGACAAGGUCUGUAAACAAAUGUAUACUUGGAUUAUGAACAUAACGAAGUGGGAGAUCUUCUGUACUCUUAACAUUUCUAUCCAUUCAGGACUUAAGGUAUGGCUGUUAACUGAUCUCACAAUACCUGUUCUACAACUGAUAUUGCCUCUGAGAUGAUAGCAUUGCGUGACAAUGAUAUACCAAUCAUCUUUUUCGUGUAUGUAGCCCCAAUGACAAGGAUCAAAGGAAUGACCAGGAAGGAAAGCAUCGCAACUUGCCAGCAGCUGAUAAAUGCAAUUAUGAUGCCCGCAAAGAAGGUGGAGAAGCUUGCGACGAAAUGACCCAGCUGCAGAAAAGUGAACUUAUAUGUAGGUUUGACCACCGAAAUUCAGAAGCGUUGUGUUACUGCUCCAUAUGAUUGUGAAAUCCAUUACCUUCUCUCCAAUUGCAUCUUGUAUGACACUCAUGUGGUUGGUUACUCCCGUGAUGAUGGUUGCAGUGGUCAAGUCAGUGUCAAAGGCCCCUACCUCCUGGUUGAGGACUGAUCUCAGAAAUGCUAGCCGC
rnacentral:lncRNA from 1 species